CCUACGGGUGACAGCAGUGAGGAAUAUUGGUCAAUGGACGAGAGCCUGAACCAGCCAAGUAGCGUGAAGGAUGACUGCCCUACGGGUUGUAAACUUCUUUUAUAUGGGAAUAAAAUGCUCCACGUGUGGGGUUUUGUAUGUACCAUAUGAAUAAGGAUCGGCUAACUCCGUGCCAGCAGCCGCGGUAAUACGGAGGAUCCGAGCGUUAUCCGGAUUUAUUGGGUUUAAAGGGAGCGUAGGUGGGUUGUUAAGUCAGUUGUGAAAGUUUGCGGCUCAACCGUAACAUUGCAGUUGAAACUGGCAGUCUUGAGUACAGUAGAGGUAGGCGGAAUUCGUGGUGUAGCGGUGAAAUGCUUAGAUAUCACGAAGAACUCCGAUUGCGAAGGCAGCUUACUGGAGUGCAACUGACACUGAGGCUCGAAAGUGUGGGUAUCAAACAGGAUUAGAUACCCCAGUAGUC
rnacentral:rRNA from 1 species